UACGAAGGGGGCUAGCGUUGUUCGGAAUACUGGGCGUAAAGCGUGCGCAGGCGGUGAUGUAAGACAGUUGUGAAAUCCCCGGGCUCAACCUGGGAACUGCAUCUGUGACUGCAUCGCUGGAGUACGGUAGAGGGGGAUGGAAUUCCGCGUGUAGCAGUGAAAUGCGUAGAUAUGCGGAGGAACACCGAUGGCGAAGGCAAUCCCCUGGACCUGUACUGACGCUCAUGCACGAAAGCGUGGGGAGCAAACAGG
rnacentral:rRNA from 1 species